AACGAACGCUGGCGGCGUGCCUAACACAUGCAAGUCGUGCGGGAAAGUAGGGGCAACUCUACAAGUACAGCGGCGCACGGGUGAGUAACACGUAGGUAACCUGCCUCGGAGACUGGGAUAACCUGUCGAAAGACGGGCUAAUACCAGAUACGACCACGAGAGCUGCGGCUCUCGCGGUGAAAGGUGGCCUCUGCUUGCAAGCUACCAAUCUGAGAUGGGGCCNGCGCGCCAUUAGCUAGUUGGUGAGGUAACGGCCCACCAAGGCGGAGAUGGCUAGCUGGUCUGAGAGGAUGGCCAGCCACACUGGGACUGAGACACGGCCCAGACUCCUACGGGAGCAGCAGUGGGAAUAUUGCGCAAUGGGCGAAAGCCUGACGCAGCGACGCCGCGUGGGUGAUGAAGGCC
rnacentral:rRNA from 1 species